rnacentral:rRNA from 1 species
AGUGAACGCUGGCGGUAGGCCUAUCACAUGCAAGUCGAACGGCAGCACAGUAAGAGCUUGCCCUUACGGGUGGCGAGUGGCGGACGGGUGAGGAAUACAUCGGAAUCUACUUUUUCGUGGGGGAUAACGUAGGGAAACUUACGCUAAUACCGCAUACGACCUACGGGUGAAAGCAGGGGAUCUUCGGACCUUGCGCGAUUGAAUGAGCCGAUGUCGGAUUAGCUAGUUGGCGGGGUAAAGGCCCACCAAGGCGACGAUCCGUAGCUGGUCUGAGAGGAUGAUCAGCCACACUGGAACUGAGACACGGUCCAGACUCCUACGGGAGGCAGCAGUGGGGAAUAUUGGACAAUGGGCGCAAGCCUGAUCCAGCCAUACCGCGUGGGUGAAGAAGGCCUUCGGGUUGUAAAGCCCUUUUGUUGGGAAAGAAAAGCAGCAGGUUAAUACCCCGCUGUUCUGACGGUACCCAAAGAAUAAGCACCGGCUAACUUCGUG